GCCAUGUUGGCUCAGUUGGUAGAGCGUUGGUCUCAUAACAUGAUCUGGUUAAACAUCAGGGACAUCCAAAGGUCGUGAGUUCGAGCCUCACACGUGGCA
rnacentral:tRNA from 1 species